GUUUGGGGUGACUUCUUACCAGGGAUGUUAUUCUUGACCCCCCGGGGCAAACGGAGGUGUUCACCUGGUCAGCGUCAGGAGCCAUCCUAACUGAGGCCCUGGUAGGCUCCCUCUUUUCCUUCGGUUGCCGUGGAUGUGCCGGACGCCUCUGGCAGGACUAACCCUGUGGCUUUAAGGUCCGGCGUGCCGUGUGCCUGCAGUAUCCUGUACAAGACAAAGCUGCCUUUCCUCGUGGGAAUGGACUGGCCGGGCUUUGGCAAUCUGGCCCCUCGAAAGACUAAAGUGACCUCUUCCAACAGGGGAAGACUUUCUGGCAAGCGGGGCCAGGAAGAACUGGAGUUUGUGGAGAAUAAAAGCUGGAAGCGUGCCCCUGAAAAUCCCCCCCCACUCCGGGCGGUCAGUGGGCUGACUCGCACGGACCGGUGGCCUUGGCCAGGAGCGGUCCUGCGGGAAGCGCCUUUGCCCGGGCUGUCAUUUUAAUUUCCAUUGGGUGCUUGGCA